rnacentral:miRNA from 1 species
CUUACCACAUUUUUAUACCAU